GCAGCAUUAUUAUACACUAGUAUACAUACUUUCCAAGUAUGAGGAGUUAGACAACAUGUUUCA
rnacentral:tRNA from 1 species